rnacentral:rRNA from 1 species
UACGUAGGGCGCGAGCGUGUCCGGAAUUAUUGGGCGUAAAGAGCUCGUAGGCGGCUUGUCACGUCGGGUGUGAAAGACCGGGGCUUAACUCCGGUUCUGCAUUCGAUACGGGCUAGCUAGAGUGUGGUAGGGGAGAUCGGAAUCCUGGUGUAGCGGUGAAAUGCGCAGAUAUCAGGAGGAACACCGGUGGCGAAGGCGGAUCUCUGGGCCAUUACUGACGCUGAGGAGCGAAAGCGUGGGGAGCGAACAGG